AACGCUGGCGGCGUGCUUAACACAUGCAAGUCGAACGGAAAGGCCCUGCUUUUGUGGGGUGCUCGAGUGGCGAACGGGUGAGUAACACGUGAGUAACCUGCCCUUGACUUUGGGAUAACUUCAGGAAACUGGGGCUAAUACCGGAUAGGAGCUCCUGCUGCAUGGUGGGGGUUGGAAAGUUUCGGCGGUUGGGGAUGGACUCGCGGCUUAUCAGCUUGUUGGUGGGGUAGUGGCUUACCAAGGCUUUGACGGGUAGCCGGCCUGAGAGGGUGACCGGCCACAUUGGGACUGAGAUACGGCCCAGACUCCUACGGGAGGCAGCAGUGGGGAAUAUUGCACAAUGGGCGGAAGCCUGAUGCAGCAACGCCGCGUGCGGGAUGACGGCCUUCGGGUUGUAAACCGCUUUCGCCUGUGACGAAGCGUGAGUGACGGUAAUGGGUAAAGAAGCACCGGCUAACUACGUGCCAGCAGCCGCGGUGAUACGUAGGGUGCGAGCGUUGUCCGGAUUUAUUGGGCGUAAAGGGCUCGCAGGUGGUUGAUCGCGUCGGAAGUGUAAUCUUGGGGCUUAACCCUGAGCGUGCUUUCGAUACGGGUUGACUUGAGGAAGGUAGGGGAGAAUGGAAUUCCUGGUGGAGCGGUGGAAUGCGCAGAUAUCAGGAGGAACACCAGUGGCGAAGGCGGUUCUCUGGGCCUUUCCUGACGCUGAGGAGCGAAAGCGUGGGGAGCGAACAGGCUUAGAUACCCUGGUAGUCCACGCUGUAAACGGUGGGUACUAGGUGUGGGGUCCAUUCCACGGGUUCCGUGCCGUAGCUAACGCUUUAAGUACCCCGCCUGGGGAGUACGGCCGCAAGGCUAAAACUAAAGGAAAUGUGACGGGGCCCCGCACAAGCGGCGGAGCAUGCGGAUUAAUUCGAUGCAACGCGUAGAACCUUACCUGGGUUUGACAUGGAUCGGGAGUGCUCAGAGAUGGGUGUGCUUCUUUUGGGGUCGGUUCACAGGUGGUGCAUGGCUGUCGUCAGCUCGUGUCGUGAGAUGUUGGGUUAAGUCCCGCAACGAGCGCAACCCUUGUUCACUGUUGCCAGCACGUUAUGGUGGGGACUCAGUGGAGACCGCCGGGGUCAACUCGGAGGAAGGUGGGGAUGACGUCAAGUCAUCAUGCCCCUUAUGUCCAGGGCUUCACGCAUGCUACAAUGGCUGGUACAGAGAGUGGCGAGCCUGUGAGGGUGAGCGAAUCUCGGAAAGCCGGUCUCAGUUCGGAUUGGGGUCUGCAACUCGACCUCAUGAAGUCGGAGUCGCUAGUAAUCGCAGAUCAGCAACGCUGCGGUGAAUACGUUCCCGGGGCUUGUACACACCGCCCGUCAAGUCAUGAAAGUUGGUAACACCCGAAGCCGGUGGCCUAACCGUUGUGGGGGAGCCGUCGAAGGUGGGACUGGUGAUUAGGACUAAG
rnacentral:rRNA from 1 species